rnacentral:lncRNA from 1 species
AGUGGGCGUGCAGGAGAAGCUGUAGGUCAGGAGGUAGAGUUGGCAGUGGGCGUGCAGGAGAAGCUGUAGGUCGGAGAGGUAGAGGUGGCAGUGGGCGUGCAGGAGAAGCUGUAGGUCAGGGGGUAGAGGUGGCAGUGGGCGUGCAGGAGAAGCUGUAGGUCAGAGUGGAUAGGUGGCAGUGGGCGUGCAGGAGAAGCUGUAGGUCAGGAGGUAGAGGUGGCAGUGGGCGUGCAGGAGAAGCUGUAGGUCAGGAGGUAGAGGUGGCAGUGGGCGUGCAGGAGAAGCUGUAGGUCAGGAGGUAGAGUUGGCAGUGGGCGUGCAGGAGAAGCUGUAGGUCGGAGAGGUAGAGGUGGCAGUGGGCGUGCAGGAGAAGCUGUAGGUCGGGAGGUAGAGGUGGCAGUGGGCGUGCAGGAGAAGCUGUAGGUCAGAGUGGAGAGGUGGCAGUGGGCGUGCAGGAGAAGGUGUAGGUCGGGAGGUAGAGGUGGCAGUGGGCGUGCAGGAGAAGCUGUAGGUC